rnacentral:rRNA from 1 species
UACGAAGGGUGCAAGCGUUACUCGGAAUUACUGGGCGUAAAGCGUGCGUAGGUGGUUUGUUAAGUCUGUCGUGAAAGCCCCGGGCUCAACCUGGGAAUGGCGAUGGAAACUGGCAGGCUAGAGUGCGGUAGAGGAGAGUGGAAUUCCCGGUGUAGCAGUGAAAUGCGUAGAGAUCGGGAGGAACAUCAGUUGCGAAGGCGGCUCUCUGGACCAGCACUGACACUGAGGCACGAAAGCGUGGGGAGCAAACAGG